rnacentral:rRNA from 1 species
AUGAACGCUGGCGGCGUGCUUAACCCAUGCCAGUCGAACGGUGAAGGCGGAGCUUGCUCUGCUGGAUCAGUGGCGAACGGGUGAGUAACACGUGAGCAAUCUGCCCCUGACUCUGGGAUAAGCGCUGGAAACGGCGUCUAAUACUGGAUACGAGCUGCGAAGGCAUCUUCAGCAGCUGGAAAGAACUUCGGUCAGGGAUGAGCUCGCGGCCUAUCAGCUUGUUGGUGAGGUAACGGCUCACCAAGGCGUCGACGGGUAGCCGGCCUGAGAGGGUGACCGGCCACACUGGGACUGAGACACGGCCCAGACUCCUACGGGAGGCAGCAGUGGGGAAUAUUGCACAAUGGGCGAAAGCCUGAUGCAGCAACGCCGCGUGAGGGACGACGGCCUUCGGGUUGUAAACCUCUUUUAGCAGGGAAGAAGCGAAAGUGACGGUACCUGCAGAAAAAGCGCCGGCUAACUACGUG